CCGCUUCUCCCCCUAAACUCAGCAUUCACCUCUGAGAAGCUAAAUCUGGAGAGAAUUUGGCUUUUCCAGCUGCUUGGAUACUUUUGAGAAAUCUUGUUCAUCAGAGGAUAUAUCUGCACUUGGUAGCUUGGAACGUCCAGGGAAACUGAAAACAGCUCAGUGCUUUUGAAGCACCCUGAGGCCCUGGUGCUCUCCCCUGCUGAAGCAGUGUGGUGUAUUUCCAGCCAUGUAGGGACGAUAAUGCUUCCCUAGUCUCACUGAGGUGUUGCCACUUUCUGAUGUGGCUAUGGCUACUUUGGGUCAUGCUGCUUCUGCCCUGCUCGAGCCCUGAUCUGCCACUGCUGGAAGAUGGCCCAGAGCCUGCUGAGAUGAAGCAAGUGUAAUCCACAGAAGUCGAGAGUGCCUCCGUGCCACAGGAAAUUCCAAGGAGAUGCAGUGGUGGGUGGCCAGCUCUGCAGUGCUGAGGUCCAG